rnacentral:rRNA from 1 species
UUUAAAAUGGCGGCAUUAUAUAUAAUUAGAGGAAUCUGUUUUAUAAUCGUUAAUCCACGUUAAUUUUUACUUUUUAAUAAAAAUUUAUAUAUCGCCAUCUAAAGAAUUAAUUCUAAUAUACUAUUCAUAAUGAAAAACAAAAAGUUAGGUCAAGGUGUAAUUUAUAUAAAAGAAAAUAAUGGGUUACAUUAAAAAUUAUUUAUGAAUUUUUUUUUAAAAAAAAAUUAUGAAAAAGGAUUUAAAAGUAAUAUUAUAUUAUAAUUACAUUAUGAAUAAAAUAAUAAAUGUGUACACAUCGCCCGUCGCUCUUAA